AGCCUGGGCAGCAGAGGGAGACUCUGCCUCAAACAAAUUAAUAAAUUACUUAAAUUGGACUAAAGUUCACUCUGAAAAAUGUGACCUCCAUGUUCAUGUCAAUGACCCUUUAAUGGCUUAUAGCCCUUGGUGGUAUCUGUGAAUGUCACCAACCCACUUUGUGUCUUAUUUACACAUAGAACAACUCCCACUCCACAGACUGAACUUGGGGCUCAGUCUCUGUACAUCUCUUUACACUUUGUACUUGUUCCAUUCUCGACCACUCCCCUUUUGUAGAUCACUUUCUCUCCCUCCCUUAAAUGUUUCUGUUCCCAGAGAUUCCACCUCAUUUAUUUCUCUUUCUCUCAUUGAGAGCAGUUUCAAACCAUCUCACAGAUUUAGCUGCUACUUUUGUGUUGGUGGCCACAAAUAGUUAUCUGCAACUAACAAUCAUGCUUCUUGGCUUCAAACAACGGCAAGAAGAAUGACAGAAGACUGAUGAACUUAAGCAGGAAGGAGAAUUUAUCGGAAAGAUAUUAGGUUUCUCAUGAACGGACAAGAAAGCUGACGAGAAAAUGCGCCAGAGUGCGGGGGAGCCAUGGUCCUCCAGGGUCACACCACAGAGCAACCUGACUGAGACCUACUGAACCCUCUGAGGGCACAGACGCUGCUGUUGGCACCACUGCCGCUGGGCACAGGCCACACCACUGAGCUGCCUGAGGGAAUUCGAACUUCCCUGCUUCUUGGUGUUACUUGCCCAAGAGCCAGGUCACAUGUAGGUCCCCUGCCCGUGUUGUGGCUCCCAGGGGGAGGGGCAGUAAGUAUUUGUCUUAGUGGAGGAAGGGCCCCUCUUCUCACCAUGAUUCACACAAUGACAGGUACAAACACAGGAAGUGGGUUCAGAGGCAUGGGGCCCACAAAGCCCAAGAUAGUUACCAGCUGCCCCUUUCAACAGAGCCGUCCCAACCCCCUUUUAAGUAAAAGGGUUGAAUGGCCACAGACUUGGUGGUUGAUGUCACAAGAUUUUUCAGGCCAGGCUGUGUAUCUUUGGCCCUCUGUUUAUUAAUUUUUUUUUUUUGCUUCUGGUCAGUUCUAAGUGCAAGUAACAAUGGCAAACCGUCUUGUCUAAACAUAGAUUUUUAGGCCUGAAGGCUCUGGCCACUUGCUCACUGACCUUUGUGCUCCACUCGUUCCUCACCCCACUCCCAAUUUAACGGUGGUUACCUCGAGGCCAGCGGAAACGACAGGCUUGGAAGGGAAGUCAACACCCUUAAUUCGUUCUUGGCUGCUGGGAAGGUUGAGAAAGGGUGAGCGCCACAGCCACAGACUUAUUUCCUGCUACAAGCCUGGCUCUUAACUUACAAAUGCUUAGUUUAGUCACUAGAAGCAGUUAGUUUAGCUUUUUUAACCCACAAAGCCCCAUCUUUGACUCUUCGGCAACUUAGAUUGUGGGUUGCAGGCAGAGAAAGGGACGUCCCGGCAAAGCUGUUCCCCCUUCCACCCGCCUUCGCAGACUGGCUGGUUCUCCCCAGCAUCUUCUCUUCCUGGGGUUAUUACUAAUGUGACAAUUAUCAUCAUUGUUUAUUGAAAUGGGGGUCUUACUCUGUUCCCAGGCUGGUCUUGAACUCCUGGGCUCAAGCAAUCCUCCUGCCUCAGCCUUCCAAGUAGCUGAGAUUACAGGCACACGCCACCACACUCAGCUCACUGGGUUUGUCUACAGAGAGCAGAGAGCACCCGAAAUACGCCAGUGUUCUUAUUUUUGUCUUAAUCACUUCCUGCACAACUGCAGGCUUGGUUCAUACCUCCCAAUGUAUUGUAGAUGACUCUGUGACCGAAUGUUUUCCCUGGGAAACAAGCGUCACCGUUUUCUAGCCCACAAUGAUUCUUUUCUGCCAUCUGCUACCUCAGUGCCACACUUUUGGCUGCCAACACCUGGAUAACUUAGAUUUUGCUGGGAAUAACAAAGACCCCAAACAGCAAUGACUUAGAUAGAAGAGACCCAGCUUUCAUGUCACGGUCUGAAGGAAGACAGUCUAAGGCUGGGGCGGCAGCUCCGCAUUCCAGAAUUGUCCAGGAACCCAGACUCUGUCUGGUUACUCUGCUGUUCCUCAGGUGUCCCCACACCAAAUGUGACUUUCCCCCAUGUUCCUAUUCCACAUAGUAGGAUGGAGGAAGGAAGUGAAAACGGUGUUCUCCCCGCCCGCUUUAAGGGCAUGUCCUGGAGAUGACCCAUGUUAUGGUUUGAGUGAUGGUGUCCCCUCCAACAUGUACAUAUUGAAACUCAAUCCUCAUGGUGGUGGUAUCAAGAGGCGGGGACUUGAGGGAGGUGCUUAGAUCAUGAGGGCUCCUCCUCUGUGAAUAGGAUUAAGGCCUUCACAAAAGAGCCUCCAAAGAGAGUCUGGCCCCUCUUUGCUCUUCUGUCAUGUGAGGACAUAGCAAUUGUCCCCUCUGGAGGAUGGCACCACAAGGCACCAUCCUGGAAGCAGAGAGUAGCCCUCACUGACAGCAAACCUGCUGGUGUCUUGAUCUUGAACUUCCAGCCUCCAAAACUGUGAUAAAUAAAUUUCCUGUUCUUUACAAGUUACCCAGUCUCAGGUAUUUUGUCAUAGCAGCACAGUGGAAGAAGAGAGCUCAAGUUUCUUCUUUCAUCUCAUUGGCCAGAGCUAGUCAUAUAACUAUAUCAGCUAAAAGGAGGCUGGGAUAGGCAGCAUUGAUCAGAGAGAACAAGAUGGUGGAUAUUGAUGGAGAACUUCAAUUUCUACCCAGACUUUUGAAUGUCAGUCAGCUCCCACCAAGUCGGGUCCGACCAUUUUAAUUACCAUUCUAGCCCUCUUGUCUAUUGAAACUACCAUGAUCAUCUUGUCCUUUGUAGUAAAGUGCCUGAAAUCAGCUUCUGCUAUUCUGGUAUCUUUUCUUUUCCAUUAAAAUCAGGGAUCCCAUUUCAACGGCUUAUAAGUGCAUCUUCAGCUUAUGGAAAUCAGUCACAAGGCUGCUUCUCAGAGAUGGAGGUACUCCCUCACCAGUGUGGGCCCUCUUGAGAAUUAGCAGAUGUAUGGGCAGGUGACACACGAUAAAUCCUCUCCAGCAUUUCUAUAUCCCAAAAGUUUUGGAUUAUUUCUUCCAUUGUUUUCAUGGAAUUUCAUUUCACAUGAGCCAUUGUUGAGUCCACAUUUCAAAACAACAACUGACACAGCAAUUAGGGCCACUUACAAUGGCUGGGGAUCGCACACUGCCUCCUGAUUCCUGGUGAGCAUACUCCUGAUUAAUUUCAGGCUGAUUUAAAAUAAUACAUGGUGUUAGACACUGUGGCAUGCACUGGAUCCCUCUCAGGAAUGAAGGACUUACUCUUCCAGCUGCUGGGACUGGGCCCUCAGCCAUGUCAUGUCCCCUUCAUGAAGCAGCCACAUCUGACAACUGGACAAAGUUGGGCUAACAAAGCCUGGCUCCUUGGCUCCAACUCAGAAGAGCUCUCAAUGACCGUCUAGUUCCAGAGCUGUGCGAGUGGUGCACACAGCACAACUGUUCCCUUGCCCAGGGCUGUCCCAUGUCUGUCCCUUCUGCUCCACAGGCAUGGUCUCAAGCUCACUUCCUGAUCGAGGUCUUGCAUGCUAAUCUCCAUCUUAGAAUCUGCUUAUCUGAAAGUCUUUUGAUGGGGAUUUAACUUUUUAAGUAAUCAAAAGCUCCACUUCCUGCUUCCAGGUCAUGUGAGAAUCUGACUGUAUUUAUAGACCUAUGAGCAAUGAGCCACGGGGUGGAGGAAAAAGGCAUGAGCAGAGCUGGCUUCUUUCUGCGAGGAAGUCUAUGCACAGAGUUAGAGCAUCUUCAAACCACGCAGGAGCAGCCUCAUCAGAUAAUGGAGGGGCAUGCAUUUCAGCUGGUCUCUCGGGAAGAGCUACAUUCACGAGAGUCUGUACGACUGAAGCUCUUCAUUUCAUUCUAUGCAAGUAGCAAUAUGGUCUUCGAAGUUUGCCUUAAUGAGUUCUUCACUCCAGGUGACUGGACAUGGAUGAACCUGGAAACCAUCAUUCUCAGCAAACUGACAGAAGAGCAGAAGGUCA